AAGACCUUGCACUUUUGGAGCGGCCGAUGUCUGAUUAGCUAGUUGGUGGGGUAAUGGCCUACCAAAGCUUCGAUCAGUAGCUGGUCUGAGAGGACGGCCAGCCACACUGGGACUGAGACACGGCCCAGACUCCUACGGGAGGCAGCAGUGGGGAAUUUUGGACAAUGGGCGCAAGCCUGAUCCAGCCAUGCCGCGUGAGUGAAGAAGGCCUUCGGGUUGUAAAGCUCUUUCAGCCGGGAAGAAAAGGUUGCGAUUAAUAAUCGCAAUUUAUGACGGUACCGGAAGAAGAAGCACCGGCUAACUACGUGCCAGCAGCCGCGGCAAUACGUAGGGUGCGAGCGUUAAUCGGAAUUACUGGGCAUAAAGGGUGCGCAGGCGGUUUUGUAAGUCAGAUGUGAAAUCCCCGGGCUUAACCUGGGAACU
rnacentral:rRNA from 1 species